rnacentral:tRNA from 2 species
GGGCGUGUGGUGGAAUGGUAGACACGGUAGACUCAAAAUCUACUCGGUGCAAGCCGGUGGAGGUUCAAAUCCUCUCACGCCUACCA